UUCUCUGUAUAGAUGCAACAAGGGAAGUGCAAAUGGAUGAAUGAUCCUCCGCUUGUGUGUGCUCAUGGAGGCGACUCAUCCAAGGCCUUUCCGAACACUAUGGAUGCAUAUAGCUUAGCGCUGCGUUCUCAAGCCAACUGCAUUGAAGUUGAUGUUUCUCGCUCUUCAGAUGGAGUCUUAUUUGCACUUCAUGACAGGUUGUGGUCGAGGUGUAUUCAUUGUUGAAAUAUUCAGUGGAGUUGGUGAUAUGGACUGGGAUUGUUAUGGAACCAGCGGUCUUUAGAUAUUAAAUGGCUAAAUAUCAUUUACUCUGUUCUUUUAUUCUCAUAUUAUGAAACUUUUGAUGAUAUUUGGAGGCUUGAUUAUCACCUGAUAGGCAGGGACUUGCAGAGGAUAACUGGAUCAAAUACUUCUCAAGUUGGAAAUUUUAGCAUGAAAGAGGUGAGUUUAGAUUCUGCAUCUUGAUAUCUGUAUUAAACAACUCUCUAAUUGAGGUGCAUAGGGAGUUUGCUUUAUUAUGAAUUUCCCCAGUUCAUGUAUAUAAAUAUAUAUUCCAACACCCAUUAUAGACUGUUGCAAAUAAGACUCUGUAGUCUCCAUUGAAUUGCUUCUUGGGUUGGCAGAUAUCAGUAGCUGUUAGGGAGGAUUGGAUGAGAGGGGAAUUAGGUUGAUUCAUUAAAUGAUUUUAUUAUGUAAUAAAGGUUUGUUGUGUUCCAUCUCAGAGAGAAGUGAGUCUUGAUUAAAAGUUCGUCCUUCUUUAUGUUCCAUCACAGAGCAAUUUACAGUGUUGGUUGAGCUGAUUGCUCAAGUAUAGUGCCUAAAGUGUACUUAGCUUUGUAUAGACGGGACUUGAUUAUUUAGAUUUAUCUAGAUUAACCUCCUUUUCUUGUCCUACCAUGUUGUACAGUUUGGACACCAAUAUUCCUGGUUGCUUUCUAAUGUGUGCUUACAUUUUCAAUUAAGAACCAAUAACCACUUGUUAAUGUU